rnacentral:rRNA from 1 species
GUCCUUUUGAAUUUAAUUUAAGGUCUGACCUGCCCACUGAUUUAUAUUUGAAGGGCCGCAGUAAUUUGACUGUGCAAAGGUAGCAUAAUCAUUAGUUUUUUAAUUAAAAGCUUGUAUGAAGGGUUGGACGAGGUAAAUUCUGUCUCUAUUUAAUUAAAUUUAGAAUUUAAUUUUUAAGUUAAAAAGCUUAAAUAGUAUUAAAAGACGAGAAGACCCUAUAGAUCUUUAUAUUAUUUUUAUUAAUUUUAAUUAAGAUUUUUUAAUUUUUUAAUAUAUAUAAUAUUUUAUUGGGGUAAUAAAAAGAUUUAAUUAAUUCUUUUUUAUAAUAACAUUAAUAAAUGAUUUUUUGAUCCAAUAUUAUUGAUUAUAAGAUUAAGUUACCUUAGGGAUAACAGCGUAAUAUUUUUAGAGAGUUCAUAUCGAUAAAAAAGUUUGCGACCUCGAUGUUGGAUUAAAAAUUAUUUUAGGUGUAGAAGCUUGAAAUUUUGGUCUGUUCGACCAUUAAAUUUUU